GUGGGGACAAAAACAAGAAAAGGAGUCUCACAACUAGGAAUAAAAACCACAGAAUAUGAGCACACUUACAAGUUAUAAAAUGAAGUUCCAAGGGUACAACAAACAUAAGAAAUAAUAAUCAUGAAAGUAAAAACACAAGUUUAUGCAUCAGUCCAAACACACUGUCUCUGUGUGUGUGCAUGUGUAGAAAUUGAAGCACAUUUUUUAUAAGCUAUAGAACGAAGUUCCAAGUACACAACAAAAUCAGAAGAUGAGGCCUCCCUCUCUCCUCUCAGUCAUUUGCUCACUCCUCUUCACUCUCUCUCCACCUCACAUUUGAUCUCAACUCUGUUGACUAUCACUCUGGGUGCAUGUGCUCGUGACAAGUGAGAAAGAAAAUGAAGCUCUCAGAAGUCAGAAAGAAAGUGCAGCAGUCCUGUAAGAAUAACCUACCUCAUGCAUGCAUCACUUUCAUCAUGGUAAUAACUAGGAACCGCUGUUAUUUGCAUAUAGCAUAUUGCUAUGGUGAAAUCAAAUUGAAAAUAUUAAGUGAUAACUAAGGAAGAACCAUUUUUGAAAAUCAAUUAACAGUUUGGGACUUUGGCAGCAUCAAAAUAUAAGGGAAAUCAUAUUGGCUUCAUUGUUGCCAAAAAACAAUGAUAGGAAAUAUUGGAACUAUUUAGAACUGUGUAAAUAUUCAGGCAAAAAUAAAAAUAUGUCCAGGGGCUCUAAUAUAAU
rnacentral:misc_RNA from 1 species